GACGAACGCUGGCGGCGUGCUUAACACAUGCAAGUCGAGCGGAGCGGCCCACGGGUGCGUAACGCGUGAGUACCUGCCCCCCUCUCUGGGAUCACCGUUGGAAACGGCUGCUAAUACCGGCUAGUGGGGGGUGCCUCGCGUCCUAUCCGCUUGUUGGUGGGGUAGUGGCCUACCAAGGCGACGACGGGUAGCCGGCCUGAGAGGGCGACCGGCCACAGUGGGCUGAGAUACGGCCCGAACUCCUACGGGCGGCAGCGGUGGGGAAUAUUGGACAGUGGGGGGAACCCUGGUGGAGCAAGGCGCGUGCGGGAUGACGGGCUUCGGGUUGUAGACCGCUGUCAGCCAUGACGCGGUAGUGUCAGAAGAAGCACCGGCUAACUACGUGCCAGCAGCCGCGGUAAUUC
rnacentral:rRNA from 1 species